UAAACUACGUUGAAAAGGAAUAGUACGGUUUUCUAAGCGAACAGAGAGCUGUUGGCCGGUGUGAAACAGCCGUGGAGAAAAUUGGAACUCACCUUGGAGUUGCUCGCUGAAACAGUAAAGUAGGUGGAGCCGGAGCCUGACCGUUAUCAUCAGGAGGAUCCAGGUUUGUCUGUGUAUGCAAACCGUAUCCGUAGAGUGCAUGCCGGCGUUGGCAUGAAUUCGGAGUGGUACCGCGUAAGAUGUUAAAGUCUUUCGUCUCUGUA
rnacentral:ncRNA from 1 species